AAGCGCUUGAUAUUGUUUAAGGUAUUGUUUAAAUUACAGAGUGUGACAAUUUUAGAAAUUGAGCAAAACUAUUGAAAUCUAAUAAUAUGGGGUAUACAGUAAAACCUCUCUAUAAAGAAUCGCUUGGAAACAAUAACUGUUUCUGUUAUAAAGAGUUUUCCGUUAUAGGGAGACUAAAACAUACCUACGUACCUACAUACCUACCUACGGUACAUAAGUUAUUCGAGACCGUUUUCAUUUUCCAUUCUAGAGAGAUUUCCGUCUUAUAGGGUGUCCGUUAUAAAGAGAUUUAACUGUAUUAUUAUGUAUAUUUGGAAAUAACAGACUGGCUACAACACUCAUACGCGCUUUUUUCGUUGUCCAGGAGACUUCAUGUAAUGUUUAUAUUAUGUUUGUUUGAUUGCGAAUUUUUAUUGACGGUUUAGUCGGUAUUUCUCAGUGAUAAAUUUUUUCGUACAAAAGCAUAUUUUUUUUUCGUGCCACUUUAUUGCAAUAAUAGUUCAAUAAUUAUUAAUUUGUAUAUAUAUUUAUUUGUAAUACGUGAUUAAAAAAUUGUUUGAAUUAAUUUUAGUUUGGAAAUAACUACUAGUACGAGAAAUAUCAGUGUAUUAUAUGUGGCAUGACGAAUACGAAGGAUAUCAAUACAUCAUGAAUGUGCUUUCUGCAGAAGACUUACGCAUUUUUGGUAAAUCUCUUCAAACGCAAUUUAAAAAAUGCAACGACAAACACAAAAUGUGUUUAUUAUAAACGGAUGAAAUCCCGUGGACAUGGGCAUGACAUCGGGCGCGUCCCCGGGUUGCGGAUGGGGGAACGUCCUGUAGAUAUACAGGACAGCCGCGAAAUAAGCCAAACCUUCGGGAUGGACGAAUCAGCGGUCGCGGACAAGCUCACCACCGGGGGAUUGAUCGACCCCCGGUGUCCAGGUAGAUCACACUGGAAGAUGGAAAUACGAUAUAAGGCUGGAGACAAGCCUACCUGAAGACGAAAAUGAAGUACACAAACCAAACAGAGUAUAGUUGCCUCUCGAGGAGUGCAGGAAAACCAGAUGAUCGAUCAGCUAGGUCCCAGGAGCAGAGGUGGUUAUGCCAGGUUUCUGCUCCUGGUCGAGAAAUUGUCUAGUUUUUCACCCAUGGUGAGCAAUACUGGGCACUCAAAAACAUAUAUCAGAGAUGAGCGUACUAUAUUGUACGCGUUUACGUAAUCGGUGUAAUAGCGACAGUGAAUAUCACCGCGGACUAGACGUGCAUCACGGUGCAUCACAGUGCAUCACGCGCCGAUACCAGUGCACGUACGUUACGGCGGACCGCGUUCUGUAAUUUUACUACACGAGCUGAGUUUAGGCAUUCGUUUUUGUUACCGUCAAUUCACCGUCAUUCACCGCCAUUCACCUUCAAUUCAUCGUCCAUUCACCGCCCCCAAGGAACGCCGUCGUGGUUGCAGUAGAACAACGUCAUCGUGCCCAUUACCAAUUACGGUUGUUCUUUUUUUUUUUUGUUAUUAUUAUUAUUUAGUAUUAUUGAUUUAUUGUACACUAUAUAUUAAGAGCCCCAUGCUGGCCGGCAUAUUUGUGUCCCAAUUAACUAGUUUUAUUUUACUUAGUUAUUUGCGAAUAGUAGGCCGUCACCCGGCAUGAAACCUAAACUGUCUACGAUCUUUUAUUUUGAAUAAUUGACCAUAUUAUACAGUCCACAUUACCGUAUUAACAAUUAUUAUAACUGUAUUUAUCUAUAUAAGCUCCGUAUCCCAGAUAUGAGCUUAUAGCACAGUUCGUAUACGUAUCAGCUCUUAAUAUUAUUAUUGCAUUAUAAUUGAUUUAUUCUGAAUAAAUAAAACAAAAAUCAAUUGGAAAUGAUUA